rnacentral:rRNA from 1 species
CCUACGGGCGGCAGCAGUGGGGAAUAUUGCACAAUGGGGGAAACCCUGAUGCAGCGACGCCGCGUGAGUGAAGAAGUAUUUCGGUACGUAAAGCUCUAUCAGCAGGGAAGAAAAUGACGGUACCUGACUAAGAAGCCCCGGCUAACUACGUGCCAGCAGCCGCGGUAAUACGUAGGGGACAAGCGUUAUCCGGAUUUACUGGGUGUAAAGGGAGCGUAGACGGCAGCGCAAGUCUGGAGUGAAAUCCCAUGGCUUAACCAUGGAACUGCUUUGGAAACUGUGCAGCUAGAGUGCAGGAGAGGUAAGCGGAAUUCCUAGUGUAGCGGUGAAAUGCGUAGAUAUUAGGAGGAACACCAGUGGCGAAGGCGGCUUACUGGACUGUAACUGACGUUGAGGCUCGAAAGCGUGGGGAGCAAACAGGAUUAGAUACCCCAGUAGUC